GAGAAUUAAUAAAUCCAUAAUGACUUGGUUUAAAAUUAAUUAAAUUAAAAGCUUAACUUAUUAAAAGAUUAAACCACCUAGUAUUUUAAAAGUUUAAAAUACACCCUUAUACUAUAUAAAAUUAAAAGUUUAACUUAUUAAAAGAUUAAACCACCUAGUAUUUUAAAAGUUUAAAAUACACCCUUAUACUAUAUAAAAUUAAAAGUUUAAUAUAUUAUAUAUGUAUAAGUAAAAAGUCAUUCUUACCGUUAGUAAGCCUCAUUCACAAAGUUGGUCUAUAAGGAGUGUUUAAGGAAAUUGCCUUUAAAAUGGCGAUUAAAUGGGUAUACACUCUUACCCACCGCACCCUUGACCAAUGGAGGGUCAUUAGCCAAAUGGGUAGGAUAGGACACAAACUUUUAUUAAUAAGUAUAAUGAAAUACAGGUAACUAAAUGUUCCAUAAAUUCCCAAUCUUACUUACUUAGAAAAAAUGUGAAUUUGAUGCUAGCCAAUGAAAUUGCACAUUGUACCUUGUUGGUCGUUAGUGGAGCGUGUGUGGUUAACUAGCACACUAAUAUGGGACUAAUGAAGGAUGGAAAUGGGUUGCUCGUAAGUUAUCAUAGAUCAAUGGAGCAUAUGUGGUUAACUGGCGCAUUGAUUAGGUGAUAAAUGACUUCAAGAGUACCAAGCUAAUUUGCAUGGUUAUUCACACCUUGUUUGUGAUCCUCGGUAUCCCAGUCACAAACUUGAAGGGCAUAAUCGAGAUUAAACAUGUCAUUGAAAAGUUCAAUGAAUCUCAAAAGGAUCUAGGAGUUUCAUUUAAAAAACCUAAUUCGUUUAAAAUUUUGUUUUCGUGAUGGAAUUGGUAAAUAGUCAUUUACUUACCGACAAAUA
rnacentral:lncRNA from 1 species